GUUAGGAAUUUUGUUCAAGGUGAUGAAAUGUCCACUCCAAUAAAAACAAACUUAAUCCUCAAUAUUUUAGCUUUAACAAUCUCAUUAUGUAGUAAUUAGCUAAUUUAUACCAUUACUACAUGUUAAUUUAUUUUCCUAUCAAAUAAAUCAUAAAUAUUGGCCUUUUGAUAUAGAGGCUUUAAAUUAUCAGUGUGCUUUUCUUUUUGGAACUUGUACUCCACUGGGCAACACCACUGGCCAGUGGGACUUGUAUGGAUCAGAUGACAAAGAAGGGCAUAAUAAGAAUAGUUGUUAGCUUCUUCAAGAUACCUUAAAUAUAGAAUGACAAGAAGUUAUUCUGAUAUUGAUUUUGGCACUUCAAAUUCCUUGGAAGAUGUCUUCUUGGUGUAGGCACUUCGGGACGUCUAUUCCUCUGAUGUCUUUUACAUUUUUUUUCCGUAAAAGUGUACAUGGAACCCUGUCGAGGAUAAUGUUAUUAGAAGCAAUUUUACAAAGAAGGCGAGUUCUCGAUUGUCAAAUAUUUUUUCCGAAGCUCGAAAUAAGGGUCAAAAGCCCGGUCGGCUUGGGACGGACAUCGGGAGGAUCUUAAUAAAUACUGGGCUACGCCGGAGUUUCAAAAGAAGAGCGCCCAGACAAAGGCAGCUCGAAAGUCUAAGAAGGGUGGCUCAUUGCACACUUGUGGUUCAGUGUCCAUGGGGACUGCUCGGAGGAAAUUGUUUCUCUUGGUAGACCACCCACUCGACAUGAGCUAUGGAAGAAGACCCAUAUGAAAAUCGAAGAUGGAAAAGAAGUUUGGGUUGAGCCACGGGCAGAGGAUACCUAUAAUCGGUAUAAUCAAGCAAUGGAGGAUCUCAUUAGGAAUCAGCCGACUGAUGAUCAAGGCAAUCCAAUCACGCCAUCAGAGGAACAAGCUCUCUCCUGUUGGUUAGACGUGGUUGGUGGUGUAAAUAAGGGAAGAGCAUAUGGCCUUUGCUCCGAGAAGAACUUUCACCGCAUCCAGUGUGGAUUGCAAGGUAUAGGGAGUUCUGCCACUGUGUCAAAUGAGCAGCUCGAGGAGAUGCGAGACGAGCUUGGGAACUUGCUAGGAAAUAUGAGCAGGAACAGAAUAAAAGAUUGAAGGAGGAGCGACGUAGGAUAGUGCUUGAGUCAGACGUCAAAGAACUCAAGGCCCAAGUGUGUAACCUCAUCAAGUUGCCCCGUUCUCCACCCCCGAGCCCUGAUCAUGAUGAUGGAGAGGAUGAGGAGGAUAGGAGCAUGGAGAUGAUGAGGAUCAGGAGAAUAGAGAGUAUGGAGAGACUGAAAUGGAGUAUUAGAGCAGAUCUCUAGCACAUGUUUACAACAAUUUUUGGAAUCAGUUGGACAAUCCCAUAUAGCUUAAAAGGAGCAGUUGAAAGUUGGAGCUUAUGGAAAGUGAACAAAACCAUCAACAAGAUCUGGUAAAUGA